rnacentral:rRNA from 1 species
UACGGAAGGGGGCUAGCGUUGCUCGGAAUCACUGGGCGUAAAGCGCACGUAGGCGGCUUUUUAAGUCAGAGGUGAAAUCCUGGAGCUCAACUCCAGAACUGCCUUUGAUACUGGAGAGCUUGAGUCCGGGAGAGGUGAGUGGAACUGCGAGUGUAGAGGUGAAAUUCGUAGAUAUUCGCAAGAACACCAGUGGCGAAGGCGGCUCACUGGCCCGGUACUGACGCUGAGGUGCGAAAGCGUGGGGAGCAAACAGG